rnacentral:rRNA from 1 species
GACGAACGCUGGCGGCGUGCUUAACACAUGCAAGUCGAACGGAAAGGCCCAGCUUGCUGGGUGCUCGAGUGGCGAACGGGUGAGUAACACGUGGGUGAUCUGCCUCUAACUUCGGGAUAAGCAUGGGAAACUGGGUCUAAUACCGGAUAGGACAAUCGUUUAGUGUCGGUGGUGGAAAGUUUUUUCGGUUUGGGAUGGGCCCGAGGCUUAUCGGCUUGUUGGUGGGGUAAUGGCAUACCAAGGCGUCGGCGGAUAGCCGGCAUGGGAGGGUGGACGGCCACAUUGGUACUGAGAUACGGCCCAGACUCCUACGGGAGGCAGCAGUGGGGAAUAUUGCACAAUGGGCGCAAGCCUGAGGCAGCGGCGCCGCGUGGGUGAUGACGGCCUUCGAGUUGUAAACCUCUUUCGACAGGGACGAAGCUUUGGUGACGGUACCUGUAUAAGAAGCACCGGCUAACUACGUG